UUUUGUUUAUAAGAGCACGUGAAUAAUUAAAAAAAAAUGGCAGCAACUGUGCUUUAUACAUUGAUACGUUUUAUAAUACCAUUUAUAUUAAUUUUUGCAAGCUCUAAAACAUCUACUGAUAUUAUUUUACGUCAAUUUGGAUUUCUUUACUUUAAAGGAUUAAGCUUCGGUUCUAUAGCGCACUGGAUUCUGCCAGAUAUAAUUGUGUUUCUAGUUACACUUGUCUCUUUAAUUUGUUUUAAAAUUUCCAAUAAGAAGCAGAGAAAAAAAAAUGUAGGGGAUAAAAGUAUUAUCAAACCAAGUCAAGAACAAACUGGGACUUUAAAGUUAUCGGAUAUGAAUCGCUAUUUGAUUAUUGUAUAUAUUCGAUCAGUUUUAAGGACAUCUCCUAUUUUUACUCUUAUUGUACUAUACUUUGCUGCAACUUUAAGACCAUCACUACCAGGAAGCUUAUAUUUUUUGAUGUUUAUCAUAGCUGGCACAUAUUGGGCAUUGUAUCGUCAAGUU